rnacentral:rRNA from 1 species
UUGUAGGCUGCAACUCGCCUACAUGAAGUUGGAAUCGCUAGUAAUCGCGAAUCAGAAUGUCGCGGUGAAUACGUUCCCGGGUCUUGUACACACCGCCCGUCACACCACGAGAGUUUACAACACCCGAAGUCAGUGGCCUAACCGCAAGGAGGGAGCUGCCUAAGGGUGGGGUAGAUGAUUGGGGUGAAGUCGUAACAAGGUACC